AGUGAACGCUGGCGGCGUGCCUAACACAUGCAAGUCGAACGAGAACGGAUUAAAGCUUGCUUUAAUUGUCAGCUAAGUGGCGCACGGGUGAGUAAUGUAUAGUUAACCUGCCCUCUAGAAAGGAAUAACAGUUGGAAACGACUGCUAAUGCCCUAUAUGCCUUUAAGACAUAAGUCUGCAAGGGAAAUGCUUUUGUGCUAGAGGAUGGGACUGUAUGGUAUCAGAUAGUUGGUGGGGUAAUGGCCUACCAAGUCAAUGACGCCUAACUGGUUUGAGAGGAUGAUCAGUCACAUUGGAACUGAGACACGGUCCAGACUCCUACGGGAGGCAGCAGUGGGGAAUAUUGCACAAUGGAGGAAACUCUGAUGCAGCAACGCCGCGUGGAGGAUGACACAUUUCGGUGCGUAAACUCCUUUUAUAUAGGAAGAUAAUGACGGUACUAUAUGAAUAAGCGCCGGCUAACUCCGUGCCAGCAGCCGCGGUAAUACGGAGGGCGCAAGCGUUACUCGGAAUCACUGGGCGUAAAGAGCGUGUAGGCGGAUAAAUAAGUUUGAAGUGAAAUCCUAUAGCUUAACUAUAGAACUGCUUUGAAAACUGUUUAUCUAGAAUAUGGGAGAGGUAGAUGGAAUUUCUGGUGUAGGGGUAAAAUCCGUAGAGAUCGGAAGGAAUACCGAUUGCGAAGGCGAUCUACUGGAACAUUAUUGACGCUGAGACGCGAAAGCGUGGGGAGCAAACAGG
rnacentral:rRNA from 1 species